AGAGGAUGGCGUGAACCCAGGAGGCAGAGCUUGCAGUGAGCCGAGAUCGCGCCACUGCAUUCCAGCCUGGGUGACAGAG
rnacentral:snRNA from 1 species